rnacentral:rRNA from 1 species
ACGACGCUGGCGGCGUGCCUAAUACAUGCAAGUCGAACGGUCUUUUCUAUGGAAGCUUGCUUCCACUGAGAAGAUAGUGGCGGACGGGUGAGUAACACGUGGGUAACCUGUCCAUAAGAGGGGGAUAACAUCCGGAAACGGGUGCUAAUACCGCAUAGUUUUCUUGAUCGCAUGAUCGGGAAAGGAAAGACGGCCUUUGUGCUGUCGCUUAUGGAUGGACCCGCGGCGUAUUAGUUAGUUGGUGAGGUAAUGGCUCACCAAGACGAUGAUACGUAGCCGACCUGAGAGGGUGAUCGGCCACAUUGGGACUGAGACACGGCCCAAACUCCUACGGGAGGCAGCAGUAGGGAAUCUUCCGCAAUGGACGAAAGUCUGACGGAGCAACGCCGCGUGAGUGAAGAAGGUUUUCGGAAUCGUAAAACUCUGUUGUCAGAGAAGAACAAGUUGGAGAGUAACUGCUCCAGCCUUGACGGUAUCUGACCAGAAAGCCACGGCUAACUACGUGCCAGCAGCUGC